AGGGUUUGAUUCUGGCUCAGGAUGAACGCUGGCGGCGUGCUUAACACAUGCAAGUCGAACGAAGCAAUUUGGCGGAAGUUUUCGGAUGGAAGCUAGAUUGACUGAGUGGCGGACGGGUGAGUAACGCGUGGGUAACCUGCCUCACACUGGGGGACAACAGUUAGAAAUGACUGCUAAUACCGCAUAAGCGCACAGGACCGCAUGGUCUAGUGUGAAAAACUCCGGUGGUGUGAGAUGGACCCGCGUUUGAUUAGCUAGUUGGUGGGGUAACGGCCUACCAAGGCGACGAUCAAUAGCCGACCUGAGAGGGUGACCGGCCACAUUGGGACUGAGACACGGCCCAA
rnacentral:rRNA from 1 species